AAUAGAAGAUACUGACAUCACAUUAGAUUAGGUUUGGUAAGACACACAAGCUGCACAUAACAUCUCACAGCACAUACACAAUGUAGCCAAUAUUAUUAUACACAAUGUAGCAGAUAGUAUUAGAUAGAUGGAAUGUAUGCGUGUUGUGAAUGUAUUGUAACUGUAAUACUAUAACUCUGUAACAUUCUUCUUCUGUAAUAUUUAAUUGGGCAGAUUCUAAGUAAAGAUUUCUCUC